AACGCUUGCGGCGUGCCUAAUCCAUGCAAGUCGAGCGAACCGACGAGGAGCUUGCUCCUCUGACGUUAGCGGCGGACGGGUGAGUAACACGUGGAUAACCUACCUAUAAGACUGGGAUAACUUCGGGAAACCGGAGCUAAUACCGGAUAAUAUAUUGAACCGCAUGGUUCAAUAGUGAAAGACGGUUUUGCUGUCACUUAUAGAUGGAUCCGCGCCGCAUUAGCUAGUUGGUAAGGUAACGGCUUACCAAGGCAACGAUGCGUAGCCGACCUGAGAGGGUGAUCGGCCACACUGGAACUGAGACACGGUCCAGACUCCUACGGGAGGCAGCAGUAGGGAAUCUUCCGCAAUGGGCGAAAGCCUGACGGAGCAACGCCGCGUGAGUGAUGAAGGUCUUCGGAUCGUAAAACUCUGUUAUUAGGGAAGAACAAAUGUGUAAGUAACUAUGCACGUCUUGACGGUACCUAAUCAGAAAGCCACGGCUAACUACGUG
rnacentral:rRNA from 1 species